AUCAGGUAGGAUUACCCGCUGAACUUAAGCAUAUCAAUAAGCGGAGGAA
rnacentral:rRNA from 1 species